UGGAGAGAUACCGAAGUGGUCAUAACGGCGUAGCCUUGAAAGCUAUUGUGGUGUAAAAGCCUCGCGGGUUCGAAUCCUGCUCUCUCCGU
rnacentral:tRNA from 1 species